rnacentral:rRNA from 1 species
GAUGAACGCUGGCGGCGUGCCUAAUACAUGCAAGUCGAGCGAACGGACGAGAAGCUUGCUUCUCUGAUGUUAGCGGCGGACGGGUGAGUAACACGUGGAUAACCUACCUAUAAGACUGGGAUAACUUCGGGAAACCGGAGCUAAUACCGGAUAAUAUUUUGAACCGCAUGGUUCAAAAGUGAAAGACGGUCUUGCUGUCACUUAUAGAUGGAUCCGCGCUGCAUUAGCUGGUUGGUAAGGUAACGGCUUACCAAGGCAACGAUGCAUAGCCGACCUGAGAGGGUGAUCGGCCACACUGGAACUGAGACACGGUCCAGACUCCUACGGGAGGCAGCAGUAGGGAAUCUUCCGCAAUGGGCGAAAGCCUGACGGAGCAACGCCGCGUGAGUGAUGAAGGUCUUCGGAUCGUAAAACUCUGUUAUUAGGGAAGAACAUAUGUGUAAGUAACUGUGCACAUCUUGACGGUACCUAAUCAGAAAGCCACGGCUAACUACGUGCCAGCAGCCGCGGUAAUACGUAGGUGGCAAGCGUUAUCCGGAAUUAUUGGGCGUAAAGCGCGCGUAGGCGGUUUUUUAAGUCUGAUGUGAAAGCCCACGGCUCAACCGUGGAGGGUCAUUGGAAACUGGAAAACUUGAGUGCAGAAGAGGAAAGUGGAAUUCCAUGUGUAGCGGUGAAAUGCGCAGAGAUAUGGAGGAACACCAGUGGCGAAGGCGACUUUCUGGUCUGUAACUGACGCUGAUGUGCGAAAGCGUGGGGAUCAAACAGGAUUAGAUACCCUGGUAGUCCACGCCGUAGACGAUGAGUGCUAAGUGUUAGGGGGUUUCCGCCCCUUAGUGCUGCAGCUAACGCAUUAAGCACUCCGCCUGGGGAGUACGACCGCAAGGUUGAAACUCAAAGGAAUUGACGGGGACCCGCACAAGCGGUGGAGCAUGUGGUUUAAUUCGAAGCAACGCGAAGAACCUUACCAAAUCUUGACAUCCUUUGACAACUCUAGAGAUAGAGCCUUCCCCUUCGGGGGACAAAGUGACAGGUGGUGCAUGGUUGUCGUCAGCUCGUGUCGUGAGAUGUUGGGUUAAGUCCCGCAACGAGCGCAACCCUUAAGCUUAGUUGCCAUCAUUAAGUUGGGCACUCUAAGUUGACUGCCGGUGACAAACCGGAGGAAGGUGGGGAUGACGUCAAAUCAUCAUGCCCCUUAUGAUUUGGGCUACACACGUGCUACAAUGGACAAUACAAAGGGCAGCGAAACCGCGAGGUCAAGCAAAUCCCAUAAAGUUGUUCUCAGUUCGGAUUGUAGUCUGCAACUCGACUACAUGAAGCUGGAAUCGCUAGUAAUCGUAGAUCAGCAUGCUACGGUGAAUACGUUCCCGGGUCU